ensembl:misc_RNA Metazoa_SRP Metazoan signal recognition particle RNA
GCCGGGCCAGUGGUGAGUGCCUAUAGUUCCAACUACUCAGGAGGCUGAGGCUGGAGGAUCAGUUGAGUCCAAGAGUUCUGGACUGUAGUGCGCUUUGUGGAUCAGGUGUCUACACUAAGUUCGGCAUCAAUAUGGGGGCCUCCCGGGAGCAGGGUACCACCAGGUUGCCUAAGGAGGGGUGAACCGGCCCAGGUCAGAAACAGAACAGGUCAAAACUCACAUGCUGAUCAGAGUGAAGUUGGCUAUUCAGCGCCUGUGAACAGACAACUGCACUCCAGCCUGGGCAAUAUAGUGAGACCCCGUCUCUA